GUUUCAGGGUGAUGGUGGCCUCAUAGAAUGAGCUUGGCAGUGUUCCUUCCUCUACAGUUUUUUGGAAGAGUUUCAGAAGCAGCUCACUCAGGCCAGGCACAGAACUAUCACUACACAGAUGGAUGACACAGGGAACCAGAGGACGACGGAUUUCAAGGAGUCAGUGUCACCUUCACCUGGCACAGAGGAAUCCGCAAGAUUUGUCAAUUCAGGGCUCUUCAGUGGCCUGACCAGGUAAUUUAGUGGAGUGCCAGGGGCAGGAGCCAGAUGGCAAUCUGUGCCAACUCCUGUGCAGAUGCCACAGAACAGAAAUAGUCUCUGGUGACACUAUCCUGAAAGCCCAUAAAAUUCAGAAAUAUUGAUAAAGAUGAACCCUCUGGUUACAAAAACAGGCUCUCAUAUCCUCCCUUUCAAAAAGAAGUGAGGUAUUUUAUUUAGUUGAGCACUAGGAAACAAUGGGUUUUUAAGAACACAAAUAAUUUCAACCCCAGAAUGAAAAUUCAGCCAUUUCCUAGCCACAUUAAGGCUAUUGUUAACCUUUUAUUAAUCCAUAAAGGGGCAGUUCCCUUGGGGGAAACAAUAGCAGAGGCAGCAAAUAAAGCUUUGACAGAAAGCUACUUUGUGUUUUGGGUUUUACAACAGAAAUAUGAAAACGUAGGCAUUUUAAAGCCCUUACUAUGCACUGGGCACUUAAGACAACAAGGAAUAUUUUUCAUUAAAUUGUACCUAUUAAGACAUAAUUUAUGAGUUCGCUGGAAACUGAGUUUCACUAAGGGGCGAGAGAAAGAAAUCUUUUUUUUUUUGGUGUUCAAUAUUUUGUUUUCCACUUUUCUCUUUAAAUGAAGGCUAGCUGACCUAAAAUUGCUCUCAAUGGCUUUGAUUAAUAUAUAUUGAACUUUCCAAAUCAAACUCGAGUUUCUCUUUUAAAUAGGUGUUUAAAAGCCCCUGAAAUCAUGGUUGAGUGCCUUCGCACCUCUUCCCUCUCUCCUUGCUUUCCAGAAGUCUAUGCAACACAAAGAUGAGAUGAAGGAGGGGGAGAAUUUGAGAAGAAACUGGAGGCAGGGAUGGGACUGAGUAGCUUAGAACACUGGUCUCCAGGAGGCUGGUGCAGUGGGAGUGGAGAGGUGUGAAGCAAGUCACGAAGGAAAAAGCCAGCCCCGUACGAGUGAGUGAUUCCAGGACAAAGCAACUCAUGGCUCAAAGGUGACUGCAGAAUACUGAGCUUAGGCAACAGGAGCAGUGGUGGCGGCAUCAACAGAAAUAUGCAAACGUGGUCACUACACUGGGCAAUUUAUGCCUGUAUCUUAAUCAUCUCAGCAAGUUUAAGGAGGAAUUACUGUCAAAAUCUAUCUUCCAUUCUUGGUAAGGAAAUAGAUUCAAAGGGGUUAGAGAUUUGUCCAAAGCUAUAGAUAUAGCAAGAGGCAGAUCCAGGACCCAGACCCAGGUCUAAUUUCCAAGCCACCGCUCUUAACCACAACUAGAGGAUCUGACUUUGAUGGGAAAAAACGAUGUAUUCAGCUAUGGAUAGGGUGGGUAUGAAGAUCAAGUGGGGCCCAGCAGGCGGCCAGGAAUGAGGACUUGUAUGCAAGAGAGAGGUCUGAACUACCUGACAGCGCAGCCACAGGGAAGAAAGAGGUAACUCCAUGAGACUGGAUGCCAUCUUUGCAGGAACAAGUGCUGCCAAGAUAGAACCCUUAGGAGCACCCAAGGUGGGGAUCUGGGAGCAGAAAGAGGAGCCAUCCAAGAAGAUGGAGGACAGACCAGGGAAGUAGGGAAGGAACCAGGAGAGGAGAGUCCCACAGGAAGCAGAUAUUCUUCUGCUUAGGAAGAACCAUCAAAUGCUACAGUGAGAUGGCUCCAUUCAACAAAUAUUGAUUGAGGGCCUGCCUGGUGUGAAGCCCUGCUCUUAAGUCAGUCCCAGGAAGACUGCAGUUAGUGACAUAGAUGUAAAUCCCUGCCCUCAUGGAGCUUACCUUCUAGUGAGGAGAGAGAGAAUAAACACUAAGAAGCAAAACGUAAGCAAGAAUUGCCUCUUUAAAGUCCUUUCUCACUUGGUGUGGACCUGUCAUUCAUUCUGCCAGUGAAUGUUUAUUGAGCAUCAGGAAAAUGCUAGAGUAGGGGAUGGGAACCUAGGGUUCUUGUCCACAGGAGUGCACAGUGCUGGCAGGGACAGGGAAAGUGGUUAGGGAAGGGGACAGGGUAAUACAAGGGGCUUAAUGGCUCUAUAAGAAAAGGCUGAUUCAAAGUUUUUCAGGAGCACAUAAAAAUAGAGCAGCUCUAAUUGUAAGUCAAAUGCUAUUAGCAGUAGCAUACCAUGUAAGACUUGCAGGUAUAUGGAGAAAUGGGUCGUAGGUGCCAUACUGCUUUACAGGAGUACUGGGCUUUGUGCCCAGUGCCUGGAACACACUGGGUUGCCUCUGAUGUCACAGCUGACAGAGACCUCAUCAAUCACUGGGGCUUCCAGAGUGUCCAGAGGGUUCCAAACCACUAAUAGUUUAAUUGAAGAGCUCCAUACAUACUGAAGCACUAUCCACUUGAUUAAGCUAUCAAUCCAUUUAAUGAAAUCACUUAACAGCCACCAGAAUAAAUAAGUUAAUGUCAUAGCACACUCAAAUUUACUUAUAUUUGAUACAGUGUCUGGAACAGGAUAGAAAGCCUAGAAAUAAACCCACACACCUAUGGUCAACUAACCUAUGAAAAGGAAGCAAGAAUGUAUAGUGGAGAAAAAGACAGCCUCUUCAGUAAGUGGUGCUGGGAAAACUGGGCAGCUACAUGUAAAAGAAUGAAAUUAGAACAUUCUCUAACACCAUACACAAAAAUAAACCCAAAAUGGAUCAAAGACCUAAAUGUAAGGCUGGACACUAUAAAACUCUUAGAGGAAAACACAGGCAGAACACUCUUUGACAUAAAUCGUAAAUCACAGCAAUAUCUUUUUGGAUCUACCUCCUAGAGUAAUGAAAAUUUAAAAAAAUAAACAAAUGAGACCAAAUUAAACUUAAAAGCUUCUGCACAACAAAGGAAACCAUGAACAAAAUGAAAAGACAACCCACAGAAUGGGAGAAAAUAUUUGCAAACAAAGCAACCGACAAGGGAUUAAUCUCCAAAAUAUACAAACGGCUCAUGCAACUCUAUGUCAAAAAAAAACAACCCAAUCAAAAAACGAGAAGACCUAAAUAGACAUUUCUCCAAAGAAGACAUACAAAUGGCCAAAAAGCACAUGAAAAGAUCACUCAUGUGAUCACUAAUUGUCAGAGAAAUGCAAAUCAAAACUACAGUGACAUUUCACACCAGUCAGAAUGGCCAUCAUCAAAGUGUACGAACAAUAAAUGCUGAAGAGAGUGUGGAGGAAAGGAAAUCCUCCUACACUGUGUUGGUGGGAAUGUAAAUUGGUACAACCACUAUAGAAAACAGUAUGGACAUUCCUUACAAAACUAAAAAUAGGACUACCAUAUGACCCAGCAAUCCCACUCCUGGGCAUAUAUCUGGAGAAAACCAUAAUUCAAAAAGAUAUGUGCACCCCAGUGUUCAUUGCAGCACUAUUUACAACAGCCAAGACAUGGAAGCAACCUAAAUGUUCAUCAACAGAGGAAUGGAUAAAGAAGGUGUGGUACAUAUAUACAAUGGAAUAUUACUCAGCCAUAAAAAAGAAUGAACCUAUGCCAUUUGCAGCAACAUGGAUGGACCUAGAGAUUUUCAUACUAAGUGAAGUCAGAGAAAGACAAAUAUAUGAUAUCACUCAUGUGGAAUCUAAUUUUUAAAAAUGAUACAGAUGAACUUAUUUACAAAACAGAAACAGACUUACAGAUAUUGAAAACUUAUGGUUACCAAAAGGGAAAUGUGGGCAGAAGGGAUAAAUCAGGAUCUUGGGAUGAACAUACACACACUAGUACAUGUAAGACAGAUAACCAACAAGGACCUACUAUAUAGCACAGGGUACUCUACUCCAUAUUAUGUGAUAACCUGUAUGAGAAGAGAAUCUGAAAAAGAAUGAAUAUAUGUAUAUAUAACUGCUGUACACCUGAAAUUAACACAACACUGUAAAUCAACUAUAUUCCAAUAAAAUUUUUAAAAAAUACUUGAUCCAGUGUCUUACAUGUAAAAUCAGAGUUUUGAUUUGGAUAAUAGGGAUACUAGCUAUUAUUUAUUAAGUUCCUAACUUUGGUCCAGUUACCAUGCUAAAUGCUUUAUAUACGUGUUUUCAUUUAAUCCUCUUCACAACCCUAUAAGAUUUGAUAUUGUCAUCUUCAUUCCCAUUUUAAGGAUGAAAUCACAGAGGUUUAAGAGAGACUGAGUAACUUGCCCAGCAGCUGACUGGGCAGGGAACCCACAGCCUGAGCCUUCCCAACUGGACUGCACUGCCAAGUUCUCUGCAGGAGAACAGGGGAGUAAGAACAAAACUCAUCUGCAUAACUGAGGCUUAAAUUCAUUACUUUUCUGGAGCCUGUUUUUAAAAUAUUCUGGAAAACACCGUGGAAUCUUCUUAUUAGUUAGAUGCAAGUCUGAAGUCCAGGUGAGGACCAGGAAUUGUAUUAGAACAGACGUGACACAAUUUAGCAGCUCUCUAUUGAGUAUUUUAAAACUACAGAUGUACCAUACCAGGACUCCAAAGGUAUGGUUCAAAUCCUGGCUGUGUGGCUUCUAGUGAAUCCCUUUCUCUCUCUGGGCCUCAAUUUUGGUGUCUCUAAAACAGGGAGAUUAAACUAGGUCAGGGGGUUCUAAUUUGAUUUUGACCACAGAGCUCUUUUAUUCAAGCAAAAUCUUACUUGGAAUCUAACAUAUAAAACACACUAAAAGCUGAGUUUGUCAGGUUGUUUUUUUGAGGGGGGAAGGUCCCCCACAGGCCAGGUCCUUGCUCACCUCCUCAGCCCUGGAGGCCCCUCCCGGAGCCCUAGCACAGAGCACGCAGUUCCAAAAAGCACAGAUGGAAAACCACUGCCUGAAUCACCUCUCAAGAUGCUGUGCUCCUCACCACCCAGACGUGCACAGCGUCUGUCACAUAGUAGGCACUUCAUAAAUAUUUGUGAGGAAACGAAUGAAAUAUUACUUUGCCUUUUCGGAAAUGUGGAUACGUAGUUUUCAUUUCCUCUGCUGAUUGACCCAGGUAGUUAAAGUGCUAAGAUGGAUCCUGGGGGAAACCAAAUGUUACAUUUAUGGAAAAGCUGCUUUUAGAUACUAAAGUGGCUUCCAAGUUCAGCGUGGCCAUAAGUUAAGGGUCUGUCAGCACUUCCAUUAUGAAAACCACUUUGUGGUUUCAUAACUUAGCCGUAAAAGUUUGCUUCAGGCUAUCCCUCGGCAUACAAAUUGAAAACCUUGCUUUAAGCCAAAAUGUGGGAAUUAGAAUACAAACAAUUUAUUGGUUUCAGACGUAGUUUUGUACCCGUCUUAACCAAAUAAGAUUUAUUAUGUGGGCAAUUAGAGGGAACUAAACCACUUGGUUCUUGAAGAAUAAAAAAGGAGGAAAAUAGCCAAACUAUUUAUAUUUUAAAAGUUGUGCCUGGACAUGAUCAGUCAUUCUUUUGGGUCCUAUUUUUAUCAAUUACUUUGUCCCCUGCAUUGAUGAGACCUGGAGUCUAUUUACACAUUCUUUUUCCUUCUUUUUUUAAAUAAACAUUUUCUGUUAAUGACAUCAGAAUGAUAAAAUAGCCUUGUUUUUACCAAAAAGCAAGCACCAUAAAUGAGAAUAAUGUCAAAAAAAAUAAAAGCUUAAUCCUGCUUUUGGUAAAUACUUUGAGAAUGGCAAGUGGCUCACUUUAAUGAACAAAAAAGACAUCAGUAAUGAAUAAAAUAGGGAAGGAGAUGAGACAUUGUUCCUCAAUGUUAGAGCUGGUUAGAGCUGAGAAGUCACCUAGUCAACUGACUUAACAGAUUGGGAAACAGAGGCCUCAGCAAAGAGAGACCAGCCUGAACACAUCCUGCGACUACUAACCUCAAGGAUGAGAACCAGGUCUUCUACAGCCCAGUCUGGCGAUCAGCUCAUCCCUGUUUCCCACCCAUGUAACCAUUCAAGGCCCGGAGCCUACAUUUUUCUGACCUACUAAUGUCUAACAUGACACACACACAAAUGCCCCUAGUCACAUAAAAAUACACCUUCCCACGCACAGCGUAUGAGGCCCUUUGUGACUUUGGUUACCUCAGUCACAAGCUAUGUACCAUCAGUGUCCUUGUUAUAAACUUGUUUUCUGUCCUGUUUGGGCCAAGCACAGUUUUGAGCACCUAGAGACAGUGGGUUGGUUACUGGGUCUCGCUGAUCUGACUAUGGGGAGACCCAGGUACUGGGCUUGUGAGCAGCUUAAUAACACAUGGCUCUGUCCUCUAGCUCAGAAAUGCAACUGAACAAACCAGGUUAUAGUUACUGUUUAUCUGCUCAUGACUGAAGCGGAUCAUGUAUUUCUGAAUCUGGUCCAAUGCUUGACAACACUCUGUUACAGUACUGGGGAGCAGACAGAUCUUGUUCAAGGUUUAGAGCCUCCCUCCUCUGUUACUAAAGCACAUCAUUGAAAAUGUCUGCCUGCAUGUCUGACUUCUCUUGCAGACUGCACUCUGGGGCAGGAACCCAAUCUCAUUCCUCUCUCUAUCAUCACUGUCUGGCACAGGGAAGGUACUCAACAGAUAUUUGUUGAAUGAGCAAAUGAAUGAAUAAAUGAAGGACCAGAUGCAUGCAUUCGCUGAUAGGGCCCAUCUCUCUCUGAAGUGGCUUCCCCAGGUCUCUCCUUCUCCACCCCUUGUGCCCUGCACAAUCUCCCCACUCUGCAGAAGCCAGUCAGACCCUCAGCAGCCACGACUUUUCUUUGCAGAAGUACUUUAGAGAGAGUGCAAUUCUGGGAAUAACAGCCCAGGAAAGUAUUUUCUUAAGUCAAAGGGGAAUUUGAGUUGGAAAACCAGGAAAUUCUUAAAUACCUGGGUAGAAGAUCACAGCCCACUCCAACCUCUCUGGUUUCCACUUCAGUCUUGGGCUGGGUUUCUAUUAAAUAGUCCAACCUGCUUUGUAGUUCAUUAUUCUAGAGAUGAGGAAAAAAGUACUUUCAGUAAAGCAAUUACGUUCCCCCACAAAUACAUAUGAUACAAUUUAUAUGUAUUAUCUGGAUUUCCCCCUAGACACAGACAUCUAUCACAAUGUAUUUAUUAAGCACCUCUUACACAGUAGGAAUUGAAGAAAUACAUUGAUUGAAUCCUUACAGAUAGAGUGCAUAGACAUACAUAUGUAUCCAAUUUUACCUAAAUGGAAACAAAAUAUCCUACUCUAUACCAUUAUUUGCUGCUUUUCCCCACUCAACAAUUUGUUGUGACUCUUUCCAUGUUUAUUAGUUUUCUUUUUAUGUUAACAAAUUAUUUUAACGGGUUCAUAGCAUUCCAUUGUAUGGAUCUACAUUAUUUAUUUAACUAGUCUCUUAUUGAUGGCAUUUAGAUGUUUAUCACUUUUUCUGCAAUUAUAAAUAAGGUACAGCUCAUGUUUUAAUACUCCCUCAUUAAACUAUAAAAUGAGUAAGUCUAUUAAUUUACUGGGAAAUACCUCUGUAACUUAAUAAUUAGUAUUUCAUAGGUGUGGAGAAUUCAGAAUCUCAAACAUACAAAGUAGAACAAGUUCCUUGGGAUUAAAAUUAGCAUUCUAAAUAGUUUCUUUUCAGGCCAGAGCCAAACAUUACAUAGGUUGAUGAUUAGAUGCUCAGGAAUUGGAAAUUUGCCCCGUGGGGAAAUGAAGGACAAGGGAGCAAGAGUGUUGAGGGUUUUGAAAUGAAAAUAGAUGAAGUGUUGGACUUCCCUCGUGGCACAGUGGUUAAGAAUCUGCCUGCCAGUGCAGGCGACACGGGUUCGAGCCCUGGUCCGGGAAGGUCCCACAUGCCACAGAGCAGCUAAGCCCGUGCACCACAACUAGUGAGCCUGCGCUCUAGAGCCUGCAUGUCACAACUGCUGAAGCUCACGCGCCUAGAGCCCGUGCUCCACAGCAAGAGAAGCCACCACAAUGAGAAGCCCGCACACCACAACAGAGAGUAGCCUCCACUCGCCGCAACUAGAGAAAAGCCCGCAUGCAGCAACAAAGACCCAAUGCAACCAAAAAUAAGUUAAUUAAUUAAAUUUAAAAAGAUAGAUGAAGUGCUGGUGCUUAAAAUCCAAAGGCCAAAAAGACACAUUUAAAAAAAUUCAGAGAUUUUUGGAUUUUUUUUAAGUUAUUCUAUAUAUUUUCUGUAAUACUAGACUAAAUUUUCAUGAGGCAGUGACCGUAACUAUCUUUCUGGCUGUAUUAUCAGAGCAUGUAUGUAGCAGACGCAAGAUAAAUUUAUUAUUGAAUAAAUGUAUAUAUGCUUUUAAAAUGAGCAUUUUAUUUGCAUAACUAGAAACCAAUUAAGCAUUUGUCUUUUCUUUUUAAGUUGGAGCUGAAGCUAAGGCACUGUAUUCCAAGACAGUAGACAGCACAUGAAAGUUGAGAAGUUCUUUGGAAACAGAAGCUCAUUUGUUUUGAAAGAGCUCCUGCUCUAAAUGUCUGAUACCAAGGUGCAAAGCAGCAGCUCUGGUACAAACUCAUGUUCUGCAGAAUGUAAAGGUCUAGGAAUCCCUUCCGAUAAAUGGGAAACAGUAUAAAGGAAGAGAAUGCAUUCCAGGUUCCCUAGCAGCUAACAAGCCAUGACAGAUCUGUGGGCUCUGCAUCUGUCACCUGGUGCUCAGUAUGGGAGAAUGGUGCUGGCUAACUGCCAGGGGUUCCUCACCAUUUACACACACACACACAGACACACACACACAGCUUCACUGAAAAUAUUUGAACUCUUCCAUUCAUAUGGAAAGAGAAAGGCAGAAGAGGCCUGCCUAUUAACAAGCUUCAGCAAUCCUACUGUUUUAUCCUUUCUUAAUGUAGACUUUAAUCAUGAGGAUUUCUUAAAAUGCUGGGCUGAGUUCCUAUAGUUAGGGGGCAUAAAAGACAAGGUUAGCAAGCGUGCCCCAACUGGUAUACAGUGAAUAGUGUACUGGUAGCCCCAAUUCCUUUGUUCUAUUCCAGAGGAACUCUAUGUGUACGCAUCAGCUAUCCACUGAAGCACUGAUACAAAAACUUAUACGCUUAGAAAUGUAAUACUAUCAGUUAAAAACAAAAAAAACAAUAAAACCCUGAGUAUGUAUCAGGUAGCAUGUAAAAUCAGGUAGGGGGAGGAUAUUGGCAGUUAAAGAAAUAGGUCGUGAUUUGCAGCCUUUGAGGAGCUCAGUCUUUUGCAGGUAGAGACACCUAAGCAGAAAAUCACAGAACAAAGUCACAAGUCCCAUGCCAGAGGGACCUAGAGAAUAUUAUGGGGUGAUUCAGAGGGGAUGCCUAACUCAAAAUGGGGAAAAGGACUGAAUUGUCCGUGAAGAUUUCCUGGAAUUAUGCAAGGGGAAGAGAGUAAGGGAAACAAAAGGGUAAGUAAUCCAGAAUUAUGGAAACAUACCAGAUUGAGAACAGGCACCUGACUGCAGUAUACAGGAGGGCAGGAGUUGGUUAUAAAGGACUAUGUAUGCCAUUACCAAGACUCUACACACAAUCCUAUAAGACCAAGGUCAAGAUUUUAUUUCAAACACUUGGGCUCUGAGUGGAAAUUAUACUGGAAGGAAAUAAAACUAUAGGCAAGGAAGAUCAAUCAAGGAGGUCAUUGCAAUUUUCCAGGUAGAGUGAGAGCUGCACUUCAAGUAUAUAGGAGUAAGCUCAUAAUGAAUAGAUCCUCCUUCAAAGAACAGCUAUCAACCUUGGACAAAAGAUAACUGCUGAGGUCUUUAAAGACUCAACAAGGAUGGGCAAGUUUUAGAGGGGAGGUAAAGCUUGGAGCAAAUGACAAGCACUGAAUGGGUUCUCUGUGAUUCAUUUGUUUUUGUUUGCAGCUUUGCCCAAGGGCAGUACAGUCAUGGUGCUGGCAGCACAGACACAGUAAAAAUUCAAUAGAAAAAUCAUCUUUCUGGUAGAAGAAAACCAGUAGGAGUCUACAGGAUAGAAGAAUAACCACGGUUACCAAGAGUAAGGGGGAAGCCAAAAAGGAAGGGUCAGAGAAGACUGAAGUUCUGAAUUCUGUAUAUAAACUCAGUUCGAGUCUCUGGCAGACCCCUGAAUCACGUAUGUGUGGGGCAAAGUAAAAGAAGUAUGCAGCCAAGGCGUAAAGAACUGAACUGAGAUCUAAGCCAUCACCCACUACAUUAUGGCAGGGUGCAAUUGAGUCUAACCAGACUCUUUACCUUUUAAAACAAUCACAAGCCUAUUUUCCUUUACAUCACUGAUGAAGGAGUAAAAAAAAAAAAAAAACCAGAAAGAAAUAGAAAAUAUAAAUAUAAAACAAAUGGUAACUUUAGAACAGAAAAAUACAAUGCCUGAAAUUUAAAAGUCACUAGAUUGACUUAAGAAAAGAAUGGAUAUGACAAAGGAAGGAGUCAGUAGUAAACUUGAGGACACAGAGACACAUUAAUAGAAAUCAAUCAAAAUAAGAUAAAGAAAAUGUUGAAAAUAAUAAAUGGAACUUCAUGGAACUGUGGGACAAUUUCUAAAAGCCUAACAUAGAGAUGCUGGAAUCACAGAAGGAAAGAAGGGAGAAACUUGAGAAAAAAAUAUUCAAAGAAAUAAUGGCUAGGAAAAAAGAAAGAAAGAAAAGCACUUACAUCUCCAGAUACUUUUUGAGGGGGCGGGGGGAGAAAAGAAAUAAUGCCUGAAAUUUUCCCAUAUUUGGUGAAAGACAUAAGUAUAUAAAUUCAAGAAUCUCAGCAAACCCAGACAGAAUAAAUUCAAAGAGAAGCAUACCUUGGCAAAUCAGAGUCAAACUACUGAAAAAGAAAGAAAAACCUUGAAAGCCAUCCUGUUACAUAUAGGGGAACGAUAAUUUGAAUUACCAAAAGUUGCUCAUCAAAAACUACAAAAGCCAAAAGGGAGUGAGUACUAAAAGAAAGAAACUGUCAAACUAGAACUCUAUAUAUUUUAGCAAUGAAGGUGAACUAGAGGCCUUACUUUAAAAUAAGAAAAACUAAGUGAAUUUGUCCCCAGCUGGCCUGCUCUAUACAAAAUGCUAAAUAAAAGUUCUUCAGGCUGAAGAGAGAUACUAGAAAGAAACUCAGAUUUUCAGAAACGAGUAAAGAACAUCAGAAAUAAAUACUAUAUGAGUAAACAUAAAAGAUGAUUAUUUUCUCUUAAUUUCUCUAAAAUACCUAUGACUGUUAAAAACUAUAACAAUGUACUGUGGGUUUAUAGUAUAUAUAAGAUACAAUACAUGAGAUAACUCUAACAGCAGGGGAAGGGGUAGAUGGACCUUAUCAUUAAAAGACUUCUACAUUUUUCAUGAAAUGGUACAAUAUUACCUCUAAGUGAACUGUGAACACAUAAUGAAGUAUAUUGUAAUACCUAGAGCAAUCACUAAAAUAUUAAAGACACAGAAAAUGCCAAUAGAUAAAAUGGAAUUCUAAAAAAUACUGGAAUAACCCAAAAGAAUGCAAGAGAGGGGAACAAGACCAAGAAAACAAACCAGAGGGACUAAAUAGAAAACAAAUGAUAGGGACUUCCCUUGUGACACAGUGGUUAAGAAUCCACCUGCCAAUGCAGGGGACAGGGGUUCGAGCCCUGGUCUGGGAAGAUCCCACAUGCCGCAGAGCAACUAAGCCCGUGGGCCACAACUACUGAAGCUCGUGCGCCUAGAGCCCGUGCUCCGCAACAAGAGAAGCCAUCGCACAGCAACAAAGACCCAACGCAGCCAAAAAUAAAAUAAUAAAAUGAAAUAAAAUAAAAAGUAAUCAAAUAAUAAUAAUAAAAUGGCAGACCUAAAUAAAUUGAGCCAUAUCAAUAAUAAUUGUCAAUGGACAGUAUACUUCAAUAUGAGACAGAAUAUCAGAAUAUAUUAAAAAAAACCAAGACCUAACUAUGUAUUGUCAAUAGGAGAUGUAUUGAAUAUUUACCUUAAAUAGAGAGACACAGAUCAGUUAAAAAUAAGUGGAUGGAAAAAGAUAUACCAUACAAACAGUAAACAUAAGAGGGCAGAAAGGGUAAUAUUAAUACCAGAUGAAAUAGACUUCAAGACAAAGAGUAUGAACAAAGGUGGUGACCACCAUUUCAUAAUAAUGAGAUCAAUUCAUCUCCAAAACACAACAAUCAAAAAUUAUGUACCUAAUAACAAAGCUUCAGAAUAUAUGAAGUAAAAAAAUAACAAAAUUAAACAAAGAGACAGUCUAAAGCCAUAGCAAGGGAUUUUAAUACCCCUCUCUCAGCAAUAGAACAAUUAUACAAAACCCAGUAAAAUCAUAAAUAAACAUUAUCAACGACCUAAAUCUUAUUAUUUAUAGAACACAAAAAAAGAGCAGAAGACUUUUUUUUUUUUUUUUUU